CGGCUCUGAUAACCUGUGGAAACCAGCAGACACAGUGUGAGUAGUGAGCCCGAAAAAGAGGAAGGCCCAGAGCAGCCAUCAGCCGUCUUCAUUUCCCUGCAGUCAGCCCCUUGGUAUCACUGAUAACAAUGACAGGAGAAUCUCUCCGCCAGCACUGCCAGAUUGCAGCCUGCCAAGCUCCUCUGUCCAUGGGAUUCUCCAGGCAAGAAAAGUGGAGUGGGUUGCCAUUUCUUCCUCGAGGGGAUCUUCCCAACCCCAGAUUGCAGCCUGCCAAGCUCCUCUGUCCAUGGGAUUCUCCAGGCAAGAAAAGUGGAGUGGGUUGCCAUUUCUUCCUCGAGGGGAUCUUCCCAACCCCAGGGUUGUGUUGUUGCUGCUGCUGCUGCUAAGUCACUUCAGUCGUGUCCGACUCUGUGAGACCCCAUAGACGGAAGCCCGCCAGGCUCCCCCGUCCCUGGGAUUCUCCAGGCAAGAACACUGGAGUGGGUUGCCAUUUCCUUCUCCAAUGCAUGAAAGUGAAAAGUGAAAGUGAAGUCGCUCAGUCGUGUCUGACUCUUAGCGACCCCAUGGACUGCAGGCUUCCAGGCUCCUCCAUCCAUGGGAUUUUCAGGCAAGAGUACUGGAGUGGGGUGCCAUUGCCUUCUCCGCAGGGUUGUGUUAGAACCGGAAUUAUUCUGUUCUACCAAAUUAUUCUUGACCAUCAACCUGAGCCUUCUGGAUUUUCCUGUUAAGAUCAAACACAGACUGCCCUUGGAUCUAGCUUCCUCUAUACAAUUCAAACACAGGGACACCUAGAAGGCUAACCAAGUCAUUUGUGUGUGUUUCCUAUUGUAUGUUCUAAACAGAAGCUCCUGGUUUUGCACCCAGCUUCCUGAUGACUUGUCAGGAGCCACAUGGGCUAGAAGGGAAAUAUCACACCUGUAGAGUCAGGUACUGAUCCUCUCAGUGU
ensembl:lncRNA